AGGGAGGUAGUGACAAUAAAUCACAAUGCGGAACUUCUGUUUUGCAAUUGGAUUGAGAACAACGCACAACACUUAUCGAUAAACAAUUGGAGGGCAAGUCUGGUGCCAGCAGCCGCGGUAAUUCCAGCUCCAAUAGCGUAUAUUAACGUUGUUGCAGUUAAAAAGCUCGUAGUUGAAGUGAAGUGUGAACCUUCUGGAUUUUCGUUCGAAUUUCUUGCUGGUUCGCACUCUUUCCAAAUAGUUUGCAUGGGUAUUCACUUAUCUGUGUAUUGCAUUUGGUCAUUUACUGUGAGAAAAUUAGAGUGUUCAAAGCAUACGUUUGUUUGAAUACAUUAGCAUGGAAUAAUUCGAAAAGGCUUUCAUGUUCGAUUUGAUUGGUUUGUUCGUGAAGGCAAGAUUAAAAGGGACAGUUGGGGGUAUUCAUAUUCAAUAGUCAGAGGUGAAAUUCUCGGAUUUAUGGAAGAUGAACAAGUGCGAAAGCAAAUAC
rnacentral:rRNA from 1 species